rnacentral:rRNA from 1 species
GACGAACGCUGGCGGCGUGCUUAACACAUGCAAGUCGAACGGAAAGGCCCUGCUUUUGUGGGGUGCUCGAGUGGCGAACGGGUGAGUAACACGUGAGUAACCUGCCCUUGACUUUGGGAUAACUUCAGGAAACUGGGGCUAAUACCGGAUAGGAGCUCCUGCUGCAUGGUGGGGGUUGGAAAGUUUCGGCGGUUGGGGAUGGACUCGCGGCUUAUCAGCUUGUUGGUGGGGUAGUGGCUUACCAAGGCUUUGACGGGUAGCCGGCCUGAGAGGGUGACCGGGCACAUUGGGACUGAGAUACGGCCCAGACGCGUACGGGAGGCAGCAGUGGGGAAUAUUGCACAAUGGGCGGAAGCCUGAUGCAGCAGCGCCGCGUGCGGGAUGACGGCCUUCGGGUUGUAAACCGCUUUCGCCUGUGACGAAGCGUGAGUGACGGUAAUGGGUAAAGAAGCACCGGCUAACUACGUG